rnacentral:misc_RNA from 1 species
AUUCUCUGUCUUUAGCUCUUAACUAUAUCUUGGAUUGUUGAUCGAAAUGAUUUCUCUAAUCUUUGAAACCUUUGAUGGCCAAUCUGCUAACAUUUUCUCCUUGAGACUGAGAGUCCAUUAUUGCCUACUUUUUGUCUCCCAAAACUCCUUUAAUGCAUAACCUUUUUUUUAUGUCUGGAUUCAUUUAGAAAUGUUAUGGAAA